rnacentral:rRNA from 1 species
UACGUAGGGUGCGAGCGUUGUCCGGAAUUAUUGGGCGUAAAGGGCUCGUAGGCGGUUUGUCGCGUCGGGAGUGAAAACCCAGGGCUUAACCCUGGGCUGGCUUUCGAUACGGGCAGACUAGAGGUAUGCAGGGGAGAACGGAAUUCCUGGUGUAGCGGUGAAAUGCGCAGAUAUCGGGAGGAACACCAAUGGCGAAGGCAGCUCGCUGGGACGGUACUGACGCUGAGGAGCGAAAGCAUGGGGAGCGAACAGG